CCAGAUGUCCACUGCCGCCGCAUCCCUCCACCAACCUCCACCGUCAGAUUCUCCCCUAUCUCUGCCGUGGCGGCAGCUCCUCCAAAACCUCAAAAAACCCACUCCAUGCCACCUGAAAAGCAAGAGAUUUUCAAGUCACUAGAAAACUGGGCUACCCAAAAUGUGUUACCGCUGCUCAAACCUGUGAAAGAGUGUUGGCAACCCCAGACAUUCUUACCUGACCCUGCAUUGCCGUUGGGAGAGUUCAACGAGCAAGUGAAGGCCCUGAGACAACGCACUGCGGAUCUGCCGGACGAGUAUUUCGUGGUGUUGGUGGGGGAUAUGAUUACG
rnacentral:lncRNA from 1 species